rnacentral:rRNA from 1 species
UACGUAGGGGGCUAGCGUUAUCCGGAAUUACUGGGCGUAAAGGGUGCGUAGGUGGUUUCUUAAGUCAGAGGUGAAAGGCUACGGCUCAACCGUAGUAAGCCUUUGAAACUGGGAAACUUGAGUGCAGGAGAGGAGAGUGGAAUUCCUAGUGUAGCGGUGAAAUGCGUAGAGAUCCGGAGGAACACCAACGGCGUAGGCAGCGCCCUAGACGAGACCUGACGCUCAGGCACGAAAGCGCGGGGAGCGAACAGG